UACGGAGGGUGCGAGCGUUAUCCGGAUUCACUGGGUUUAAAGGGAGCGCAGGCGGAUUGGUAAGUCAGUGGUGAAAGGCUUAAGCUUAACUUGGGAACUGCCGUUGAUACUAUCUGUCUUGAAUAUCGUGGAGGUAAGCGGAAUAUGUCAUGUAGCGGUGAAAUGCUUAGAUAUGACAUAGAACACCCAUUGCGAAGGCAGCUUACUACACGAUCAUUGACGCUGAGGCACGAAAGCGUGGGGAGCAAACAGG
rnacentral:rRNA from 1 species